GCAUAUCGCGAGUGAUGAACCCAAGGUGAGAUAUACUUUAUCCAAUUAUAGAGAUAGAGCUGAUGAGGAAAAAACCCGCUACAAGACGAGUGCGAAGGCACAGCGGCGGAGCGCGGGGCGCGGCUUUCUCUACGGUAGCAACUUCGGCCGAUAUAAACGCGCGUCGCGGUGGAUUACUUCGGCAUUCGGUGCACAGCCGUCUCGCCCGCUACAGUUGCAGGCUCCAGAAUAUCCGUUGUUCCAUUUCACUGUUGUUGUUUUACAUACUUUUAAGGCGAAUUAUUAAUGUAAUAUGAUUAGAUAUCCAUUUGUAGCGAAGGUCGUUCGAGUCUACGCCUCGGCUGGACCGGAAAAUACGAGGAAAUUCAUCAUCCGCUUUUCAAGGCAUUAGUAGAAUUCUGUUCGGACAUAUCGUUUUUUCGUGCCUUAU